rnacentral:rRNA from 1 species
GACGAACGCUGGCGGUGUGCUUAACACAUGCAAGUCGAACGGUAAGGCCCUUUCGGGGGUACACGAGUGGCGAACGGGUGAGUAACACGUGAGUAACCUGCCCUCAUCUCUGGGAUAACAGUCGGAAACGGUUGCUAAUACUGGAUAUGAGCUUGCAAGGCAUCUUGUGGGUUGGAAAGAUUUUUUUUGGUUGGGGAUGGACUCGCGGCCUAUCAGCUUGUUGGUGAGGUAGUGGCUCACCAAGGCUUCGACGGGUAGCCGUCCUGAGAGGGCGACCGGCCACAUUGGGACUGAGAUACGGCCCAAACUCCUACGGGAGGCAGCAGUGGGGAAUAUUGCACAAUGGACGGAAGUCUGAUGCAGCAACGCCGCGUGCGGGAUGACGGCCUUCGGGUUGUAAACCGCUUUCAAUUGUGACGAAGCUUUUUUGUGACGGUAGCAGUAGAAGAAGCACCGGCUAACUACGUG